AUUGAACGCUGGCGGCAUGCUUUACACAUGCAAGUCGAACGGUAACAGGCCGCAAGGUGCUGACGAGUGGAGAACGGGUGAGUAAUGCAUCGGAACGUGCCCAGUCGUGGGGGAUAACUACUCGAAAGAGUAGCUAAUACCGCAUACGAUCUAUGGAUGAAAGCGGGGGACCGUAAGGCCUCGCGCGAUUGGAGCGGCCGAUGUCAGAUUAGGUAGUUGGUGGGGUAAAGGCUCACCAAGCCAACGAUCUGUAGCUGGUCUGAGAGGACGACCAGCCACACUGGGACUGAGACACGGCCCAGACUCCUACGGGAGGCAGCAGUGGGGAAUUUUGGACAAUGGGCGCAAGCCUGAUCCAGCAAUGCCGCGUGCAGGAAGAAGGCCUUCGGGUUGUAAACUGCUUUUGUACGGAACGAAACGGCUCUGGUUAAUACCCGGGGCUAAUGACGGUACCGUAAGAAUAAGCACCGGCUAACUACGUG
rnacentral:rRNA from 1 species